GUCAGGGAGGAGAGAUUUUGAAGCUUGCGAAGUCCACAUUGAUACCAUUGGGCUGCAGGGAUCCCAAGCAAAAUAUGAGAUGCUGUUCCUGCAACCUUUUGAUGGCGUUGUUGUGGCACUGCAGGGGGCCCAGGAAAGACAUGUUGCCAAGGAAUGGGAGGGAGAGUUGAAAUGGUUCGCGACUGGGACCGGGUCUUUUGUACAGGGUCUGGCUCUGUGGCCCAGAAGGGAAGUGGGGGACAAUAAAAGAGCUCCCCUGCGGGGGGGGGGGGGGAAUUUGCUAAGGCUAUUCGGGUGGGUUUAAACUAAUUCAACAGGGGGAUGGGAACCAAAAUUGUAGUUCGAGUAUAGAAAAGGUUGAGAGUAGGGAGGUCCGAAAUAAAGUUUCAGGGACGCAAGAUGGCACCGGCAAGCAAGAAGUUGGUUUGAAGUGUGUCUACUUCAAUGCCAGGAGCGUCCGGAAUAAGUGCAGCAGUAGAUAUGGGCAAGUAACUUCAAAGCAAUGUUUGCUGACAAGAAUAGCAAGCACGAAAGCACCAUCCAGGUCAAUCCAAGACUCUGUCGCUGGUAACAAGGGAGCACCACUGUUUCUGAUGAGCUUUGAACCAAAAAUCUUUUGUGUUUGAGAUGGGGAACGUUGUGAGCCACCUUUAUGCCUCAUCGCUGGCUGAAUAAAAAAAACAUGUUUCACUAGAGUGAAUCAUGUAAAGAAGACGCUGACUAAGGUACAUACAAAUCCAAAACAUUUCCCUUGAUCAUGACAAUGAAUCAAACCGAGAUUGUGAAACCUUUUCACUGAAGCAAUCUUCUCACUAGGUUCCCAUUGUCGUCGAGCUGCUUCAUUUUGUCUGAUUGGGCGCUCAAUCGCUAUGAACCAUAUGCUAAUUUUAACUCACUUGAACAACAACUGGUGAACACAGGUUGGGGUGGCGCGUUGGCUUAGUGGUUAGCACUGCUGCCCCACAAGCACCAGAAUCAAGGUUCAAUCCCACCCUCAGGUGACUGUGUGAAGUUUACACAUUCUCUCCCUGUCUCCCUCCCACAGUCCAAAGAUAUGCAAGUUAGGUGGAUUGGCCGGGCUAAAUUGCUCAUAAUAUUAAGGGAUGUGCAGAUUAGGUGGGUUACAGGGGAAUGGGGCUGGGUGGAAUGCUCUGAGAUUCGAUGUGGAGCCAAAAGGCCUGUUUCCACACUGUAGCGUAUCUAUGAUAAAAAUUCCAUGACAGGUUGAAAUCUGAGAGUUCCAAUUUUGCUUCAGAGACCUUGUCCUUCUUCAGUCGUGAAUUAUGCAAGCAUUGAAGUUGGAAAGCCACACUUCCCACGAGGCUUUAAAAAAAAGCCAGUAGCAUUUAAACCACUGUUAAGGUCUCAGAGUGGGGCUUUAAAGCUAUUACUAUAAGAGUAAGAGGUUAAAUCGAGAGUGACAAAUAAAAUUACACUAGUAUAAUUAAAUGCAUGUUGUCCAUCACGAUCAUGGGUGAUUUUAAUCUGCACAUAGAUUGGGCAAACCACACAGGGCAAAUUCCUGGAGUGUAUACAGAAUGGUUUUCUUGACCGAUAUAUUGAGGAACCAACUGGACAGCAGGCCAUCUUAGACAGAGUACUGCGUAAGGGGAAGGAAAUCAUUAUCAAACUAGUUGAGACCCCUUGGGGAUGAGUGACCAAAACACUCAUUUGUUAAACAAGAUCGAAAUGAGGCAAUUGAUUCAGAGACGAGGGUGUUAAAUCAUUAAAAAAGAAACUGUGAAGAUAUGAGGCAUGAGUUGGCCUUGAUAGAUUGGGGAGUGUUACUUAAAGGGGUGACAGUGGAUAGGCAAUGGAAAGCAUUUACGUAACACAUGGGAAAAUGGCAUUUACUGUUUACACCUGUCUGAAACAAAACUGAAAUGGGUAAGAGGGCCAAUCCGUGGCUUACAAAGGAAAUUAGAGAUCGUAUCCAAUUCAAGGAAGAAGCAUACUGAUGAGCCAAGAAAAAUAAUAUGUCUGAGGACUUAGAAUUCAGCAAAGAUGGCCCAAGAGAUUGAUUAAGAGGGGAAAAAUAUGGCACAAAAGUAAGCUUGCAGGGAACUUAAAGACUGACGCUGUGUGUUUCUAUAGGUAUAUGAACAGAAAGAGAUUGGUGAGGCCAAAUGGAGGUCCCCUACAGACAGAAAUACGGGAAUUUAUAAUAGGGGACAAAGAAAUGGCUGAGCGACUAAAUAUAUACUUUGGUUCUGUCUUCACAAGUAGGGACACAAAUCUGAUACCAGAAAUAUUGGAGAAUGCAAGAUUUACUGAGAGGGAAGAAUUGAAGGAGAUCAAUAUUAGUAAAUCACGCUUCACAAAUCUGUUGGAAUUCUAUGAAGAUGGCAAGGGAAGCCAACAAUUUGGUAUAUUUGGACUUUCAGAAAGUGCUUGACAAAGUCCUGUGUACGAGAUUAUUAUGUAAGGUUAAAGCGUGUGGGAUUCAGGGAACUGUAUUAAGAUGGAUAGAAAACUGGCUAGCAAAGAGGAAACAAAGAGCAAGAAUUAUUGGGUCCUUUUCAAAUUGAGAGGCAGUAACUUGUGGGGUGCCACAGGGAUUGGUGCUGGGAUGCCAGGUAUUCACAAAAUAGAUAUUAAUGAUUUGGCUAAGGGAGCAAAAUGUACCAUUUCAGAGGUUGCAGAUGACACCAAAUUGGGUGAGAGAGUGAACUGUGACAUGGAUGCAGAAAUCCUUCAGCAUGAUCUGGACAGGUUGGGUGAGUGGGCAAAUCAAUGGCAGAUGCAGUAUAAUUUGGAUAAAUGUGAGGUUAUUCAUUUUGGAAGCAAAAACAAGAAGGCAGAUUAUAACCAGAAUGACUGUAAAUUGGGAGAGGGAAAUGUGCAGCAGGACCAAGAUGUCCUUGUGCAUCAAUCACUGAAGAUGAGCAUACAGGCACAGCAGGCAAUAUAGAAGACAAAUGGUAAGUUGGCCUUCAUUGUGAGUGGUUUUGAGUACAGGAUCAGGCAGGAGUUUUUGCAGUUGCACAGGGCCCUGAUGAGCCAAACCUGAAAUACUGUGUGCAGUCUUGGUCUCCUUUUCUGAGGAAGGAUGUUCUUGUUUUCGACAGAGUGAAGUGAAGGGUUUACCAGGCUGAUUCUAGGGCUGGCAAGACUGACAAAUGAAGAAAGAUUAACUGAGUUAAGAUUGUUUUUGCUGGAGUUCAGACGAAUGAGGGAAGCUCUCAUAUGGGUAGACAGGGUAGACGCAGGUAGGAUGUUCUCAAUAGCGGGUGUGUCCAGAACCAGGGGUCACAGUCUGAGGAUUUGGGAUAGACAAUGUAGUACAGAGAUGAGGAAACUUUUUUUUCAACUAAACAGUUGUGAGCCUGUGGAAUUGAUUACCACAGGAAGUAGUUGAUGCUAAAACAUUGAACGUCUUCGAGAGGCAGCUAGAUAUCGCACUUGGAGUGAGUACGAUCAAAGGUUAUGGGGAGAAAGUAGGAUGAUCAGCCAUGAAUAUGAAGAACGGGGUAGCUGGCUGAAAGGGCUGAAUGGCCUCCUCCUGCUCCUAUCUUCAAUGUUUCUAUGUUUUAAUGCCCAAUGAAUAAAAGGACAUUCGACUGUUCUGAAAACAUAGCGUAUGUAACCAUACAGUUAUUGUUGCACCACGUACUGUUAAUGUUGCACCGUGUAUUUUGAGCUCCAUGAAAAUCUGAUCUUUGAAGUGACUGGCUGAUGAAAAACAAGAAGGAUCAGCUGCUAGAAAUGAAUAAACUGAAAUUUGUUUGUGUAAUCUAAAUGUCCUUGUUAUUGGUACAUUCUAUUCCCCACAUUAGAGAAAAAAAAGAUCAUAACGUUUGAGGUUAGAGUAGCAAGGCAACAACACAUUGUAUUGUAGAAAAUGUUGUAUUUUAAGCUAAAUUGUGUCUGCAGCAAUGAAAUGUGCAAGUUCACGUGAGAAAAGCGUGAGCUAGACACAGUGUCUUGCAAUGCAUGGUUUCGCAAUUUAUCCUGUAAUUUGUACCAAAAUAACUUAUUAUUAAUACACAUCAUGAUAUAAUUCACAAAAUAAUUAAUCACAACAUAGUUACUUAUUAAAUAUAAUUACCAGGUUAUUAUUUUCAAGUGAAGGAACUAUCGCAAGCAAUUGGUUUUCUACUAGAUUUGUGUGUAGUCUGGUAAUAGAGAGACCAAGUUCAGUGCUCCCAGGAUGUGGAUGCAUAUUCCAUUACAGCGAUGCUGAAUUUUGUUGGGACUCUAUUGUGUUGUUUCUCCAUUCCAUGGAAAACAUCCGCAUUGAAGCCAGUGAAAGCUUGGAGAUCCCUAUCCAAACACUGAGUCUGUUGUUUCGCUGUCCUGUCAAGCAGGCAAUGUUGUAGAUGGUAAUUCUACGAUUUUAAUCAUCUAAAAAUCCUAAAGUUGUGUUCUCUAGAUUUGAAUGUAGGAUAUUAGGCGACUAAGUUAUCCGAUAACACAGAAAGUGAUGGUGUGUGAAAUCGUAAGGAUCAUAAUCUUAGAAUAUGGAUCGGCUGGUGAGAUUGUGAAUGGAAAACCAUGCUUCAAAAUGGAAGGUAACAUGAGAUUCAAAGAGCAACUUUCCAUACUUUAAUGCUCUAUUAUUCUAUGACUCUGGAUAGUGUAUUAGUUUUGAAGUUGAAAUUCUUAAAAUAUCUUAAAAUGUCUUUAAAGAAGGAGAAUUACUCUUGUAAUAAGUUUGGGCAACAUCAUUGUGAGCUGGCAUGCACGUGAAUAGAUCUUCUAAUUAUUAUUUAGUCUGAUGCAAUUAUCUAAUUGCAAUAAGACUGCACAAUAACAUCAACACAACCAUGUUUCUAAAUCAACGCCUUGGUGUUAUUUUUCUGUUGCACACACUUGUGGCAGGGACAUUUAAAAAUAGACAUUGUCUUUAGUUCCACUUCCAAUAUCGAAUGCCUCUUCGGUUCACAAACGGAAAGGACUUUGAACAGAGAAUUAAGAGUUCUUGUACUUCAUAGAGGACUACAUCAGUUGAGGCAGAUGAACUGCUUCAGAACCCAUCGGGCCCUUGAACCCUAUUGCACUGUUCAAUUGUAUAAUGACGGAUCUCGAAACAGGCUGUAGUACCCAUUUUGAUUCAGAGAUUUUCCAAUUAUUGACUGACAAAAUCUAUGGCUCUGAAUGUUGACUUAAGCUGAAUUUACUCCAUGCAAUUCAGGCCACUAUGGUUCCAGAUUCAAUCUAGUCUUGACUUUAACAUUUUUUUUCAAACUUUCAGUCAUUUUCAAUUUAGUCUCGGCAGAUUAAAAUAACAAUUGUGCAAUUUGUGUACUCACUUCAAAUACCACAAUUGAUUGCCUCAUGUUCUUCUACACAUAAGCAAUAACAAGCUAGAUGGAUGCAGACGGCUGUCAUAAGUUAAACAUCAAUUUGUGGAAUGGGAGCGUACUUUGAUUAUGUUGGCUGCUUUCCCAAGACAGCAGAAAGUAUAAAUGGACCCAAUGGAUGGAACACAUCUUUUUGUGAUGGAUUGAGCUGUUUUCAUGACUCUGUAGUUUUUUGUAGUGGUGCACCUAUGAAAAUCGAAUCAAGCCCUUGUGGAUAUGUCAAAUUUCAUCAGCCUUCUGAGGAAGUGGAGAUGUGGUUGUCCUUUCUUGACCAUUAAGUCGAAAUGGGUGGACGAGGCAGAUUGUUGGUGAUCAACAAUUCCCAGAAACAUGACAGUCUCGACCAGCUUCACCUCAGCACCAUUGAUGCAGACAUUUUGGAUAACAUUUUGUGCUAAAGCAUCCUUCACAAUGGAUUUAUUGAGAAUGUAAUUUGAACUGCUCUGGUAGAAUUAUUGACAUUUUGUUCUAUGGUGUAACAUUUUGCUGAAGAUGUAUCUCAUAUAUUCCUCAAACCAAACCAUCAUUUUUUUCCUUCUUCUUUUAUCCAUCCCUAAAGUUCAAUACUGUUAACUUUAUCAAUUUUCUGGAGCAGAAAAUGUUUUUGUUGUGGUCUAUUCAACGUGAUUUUGACUAAUCCACAAUUUU